rnacentral:rRNA from 1 species
UACGUAGGGUGCAAGCGUUGUCCGGAAUUAUUGGGCGUAAAGCGCUCGUAGGCGGUCUGUCGCGUCGGCUGUGAAAACUCGGGGCUCAACUCCGAGCUUGCAGUCGAUACGGGCAGGCUAGAGUUCGGCAGGGGAGACUGGAAUUCCUGGUGUAGCGGUGAAAUGCGCAGAUAUCGGGAAGAACACCCGUGGCGAAGGCGGCUCUCUGGGACGGUACUGACGCUGAGACGCGAAAGCGGGGGGAGCGAACAGG